rnacentral:rRNA from 1 species
UACGUAGGGUGCAAGCGUUAAUCGGAAUUACUGGGCGUAAAGCGUGCGCAGACGGUUGCGUAAGUCAGAUGUGAAAGCCCCGGGCUUAACCUGGGAACUGCAUUGGUGACUGGCAGGCUAGAGUAUGGCAGAGGGGGGUAGAAUUCCACGUGUAGCAGUGAAAUGCGUAGAGAUGUGGAGGAAUACCGAUGGCGAAGGCAGCCCCCUGGGCCAAUACUGACGCUCAUGCACGAAAGCGUGGGGAGCAAACAGG